AUACCAGGGUAUAAAAGACAAGCCGUUCAUGCUCGCAUGAAACGGCUUGUCCUUUAUACCCGCCAAAACAUGAGGAAGAAGCCCGACAGGGCGGAAUCCGAAUGUUUUGAGGAUUGAGAGAGCGCGAAGCGCGGAGCAAUCCGAGAU
rnacentral:sRNA from 1 species